GCUGCUGUUGUCACAUGUCGGAAAGUCCCAAGCGCUGACGGUGGAAAUCCCCGCUGGGGUUUUUUUUUUUGUUGUUUUUUUUUUUUUUUCUUUUUUUUUUUUUUUUCCUGUCCAGGCGCUGAAACAGAAAGGGGAAAGAAAACAAGAGGCUGAGCUCAGCCCUUCAUUCCGCGGCAGAGGUAGCGGCGGCAGCAGCUCCGCAUCGGAGAGGGGGGCGGCGGACGGGAACGCGGCCAGGUCAACCCAGGCCUGCUGCCGGCCGCUCGUUGAUGGCGACCGAGCCCGGCUGCGUGCCUUCGCCGCGGCCCGGCUGCUGAACAGCAUUCACCGGCGGAUCGAUCCCGUGCCCGGAGGAGCUCGCCGGUAGAGAGAUUUUGUCUAGGAACAUGGCUGGCCAACACAUCCUUCCUCAGGCUUUGUAUCAGAGCAACAUGCUGAAGGCUGUGAAGAUUAGAGAGAGGACACCUGAAGAUCUGGUCAGACCUCCCAGUGGAAUAAUUCACCACUUCAGGACUAUGCACAGAUACACUAUAGAAAUGUUCAGAAUGUGCCAGUUUUGCCCUCAAUUCCGGGAAAUGCUUCAGAAGGCCCUGACUGACCAAGCCACCCAGACUUCGCUGGAGCGCCAGAGGAAGCUGAACUGGUGCAUGGAGGUCAGGAGACUUGUGCCUUUGAAAACUAAUGGUGAUGGAAAUUGCCUCAUGCACGCUGCAUCGCAGUACAUGUGGGGUAUUGAAGAUGUUGACCUCGUCUUAAGGAAAACGUUGUUUAGUGCACUCAGGGAGACUGACACACAGAACUUCAAGCUGCGCUGGCAGCGGGAGGCUAUUAAAUCCCAGGAGUUUGUGCAAACAGGACUCCACUUUGACACCCGGAACUGGGAGGAGGAGUGGGAGUACCUCAUUGAAAUGACCUCCCCGGAAACAUCUGGCGCUCGAAACAGACUUCCUUAUAAUGCACUGGAAGAAAUCCACAUCUUUGUUCUUGCUAAUAUCCUCAGAAGACCAAUCGUUGUCCUUGCAGAUAAAGUUGUGAGAAGUUUAGAAUCAGGCUCCAGUUUUGCUCCUCUGAACGUUGGUGGUGUUUACCUGCCACUCCUCUGGCCAGCUGAAGAAUGCUACAGAUAUCCAAUUGUGCUCGGCUAUGACAAUAUGCAUUUUACACCACUUGUGACCCUGAAGGACAGUGGGCCAGAAAUCCGGGCUGUCCCUCUGGUCACCAGCGAACGAGGCAGAUUCGAGGAUUUGAACGUGCACUUUCUGACAGAUGCAGAGGAGAGGGAGAAGGAGCAGCUGCUGAAAGACUACUUGAUAGUCAUAGAAAUUCCAGUGCAAGGCUGGGAUCAUGGCACAACUCAUUUAAUUAAUGCUGCAAAGUUGGAUGAAGGCAACCUGCCCAAAGAAAUAAAUCUUGUGGAAGAUUACUUUCAACUGGUGCAGCAUGAGUACAAGAAAUGGCAGGAGCAUGCUGAACCUGCCAGAAAAGAGGCCUGCUCCAGGAACAGACAGGAACUGUCUUUUUCCCAGCUCUCCCUCUUACAGGUGAAAUGUGAAACUCCAAACUGCCCUUUCUAUAUGUCUGUGAACACCCAGCCCUACUGCCACGAGUGCUAUGAGCGGAGGUCACAAGGAAACAAAGGAAGAAAGCAGGUCUCUGAAGCAGCACCUGAGAAACUGAAGGCAGCUGGGUCGGGCUGUGGUAAAGCUUGUGAACCUGGGGGGUGGAUGUCUGAGGAGGCUGUAACAGGGCCUCGCUCUGCACCCCCAACUGCUCCCAGCCUUUUCCUCUAUAGUGAAACCACUGCCAUGAAAUGCCGGACUCCAGACUGCCCCUUCACCUUAAACGUGCAACACAACGGACUUUGUGAACGCUGCUACAAUGCCAGACAGCUUGCUCCUUGUAAUAAUUUAGAUGACCAGAGAUGUUUGGACUAUGCCACGUGUAAAGUCUGCCUUCAGAAGGCCAAUAGGACAUUUAAUGGCAUAUGCAGCACUUGUUUCAAAAGGACUACAGAGCGCUCCUCGAAUGGCAGCCCUGGUUUUGUACCCACGUGCCAUCAGAGAUCUACAUCUGACCCAUCCCAGAUCCCACAGAGCCUCCUUCAGCAUUCCUGCCAGCAAGCUCCCAACAACAAUUGUGAUGAGCUGCCGUUGGCUGCACUGCCUCAUGCCCCACACACUUUGGAAGAGAAGAAGGGAAGUAAGCUCUGCAGGAAGCCUGGCUGCAAGUUUUUUGGAACAGCUCAGAAUGAGGGCUUUUGCACGCUGUGCUUCUUUGAAUACAGGGAAAACCAUGACAGUGCUUCACUACGCCAUCAGAGGAGAUCUCAGAGGAGUUCCUCAGCAGCUGGUCAACAGGGGAGCUCAGCUGCCGCUUUCCACAAUAUGUCUUGCCAGCAGCAGAACUGUGGCACCCUGGGUAGCACCAUGCUGGAGGGUUACUGCCAGAACUGUUUCAUUAAAGCCCAGAGCCAGCGAUUUCAGGAAGCCAGAAGGACAGAAGAGCAGCUAGUAAGACAGCCUGAAAGAACAGGACAGCGCAGAGAUCUACAGCGAGCAGCACUGACUAGCCAGAAGAGACAGUGUGCUGUGGCUUCGUGUCGAAACAACCUGGCCUGCAGAAGCAGUGAGCUGUGCCAGCAGUGCCAGCGCGUUGGCCAGCUUGUGCAGCUGGGGGGUCCCAGGGAGCCAGCCACAGAUGAGCCUCCGAAGCAACGCUGUCGAGCCCCUGCUUGCGACCACUAUGCUGAGUGAAGCAGAGACAAGUAGACACAAGAAAAAGUACAAACAAGUUCUUUAUUCUGCAACUCCGUUUGAGCACUCUAAAGAUAGCAUCAAGGACUGCAUGGAAAUCCCCUGGAUACACUUUGUAAUUUUUUCCGGUGAAUCUCGGGAUAGCAAAUAUGAAAGGCAAGGGUAUUCUUUGGACAUACAAGAACCAGGAUGAAAUUUGCCCAGAUGGAGCAUGUGGAGCAAGAUACACGUCCCUGCACUAAACAGUUACGUACCAUUUCCACAGUUUCUUUGAGUGUUGAAGAAAUGUAUUUGAAUUCCCAAAAAAUUCCCAGCUCAGGCCCUGUAUGUUUCCAGUGUAGGAAACCAGUGUAAGUGCAGUAAUAUGAAGGCAGGACUGUUUGGACGGAGUGUUAACUGCAAGACACUUGGUACUGUUACCAAGGACAAAGUCUGCUCCACUUGCAUUAAUAAUACAUUUAAAGAAACAGGCUUUUCCUUUGCUGUAGAUGGAAUUGCAUCAUAGAACCACAUGUCUCUAUCAUCAGUUCUCCUCCUAACAGAGCAAAAUGGUGUCAAACUGCAAGCUGGAGCACUGGGCAUAGUUCUGCGAAUUACUUCUGGUUGGUUCAGCUUCUUUGAAUCAUAGAGAUGUAUGCAAGAGUUUGUAUCCAGCUUAUGCAAUGAUAAAGGUUAUGAAUGGGGGGAUAUAAUUGACCAUUUAUUUACUCUGAGGUUUUCAAAGUUAUCAAGGGAGAUGAAAAUAAACCACUGUGGUGUGAACAAGGAAGCAAAGUGAGAAGUUCAUCUCCUCUCUAGUUGGCUGUUAGCUAUUACUGUGGUGAUUUAUUGCCAUAAUCAAAGAAGAAACACCCUCCUUGCAGUGGAAAAAUGUUCCUAAUAAAGAUAAAAUUGUAAUCUCAGUGAGAAUUGGGAAGUACCAGUAAAAGCUUAGAAUUACUACCAUGGAAAAAAGAUCUCAGCAAUGAGAAAUACAGGGGAAAAACCACUUCUCCUAGCUUGUUUAUACAUCCACAAACUGCAUAAUUCUUUUUUACCUCUGCAACAAACAAACUCAUGCUAAGAUAUUUGCCCGUUGUGCCCUCCUACCCUCUUUGUUGUUUUCAGGUUAUAAUUCUCCUGUAUUAAAAUGUGUUUGUUCCAGCGGGUCUGGACUGCUAAUCCAUCUACUUUAUACUGUUUUACAGACUCUUCCGUCUCUUUAAUUUUUACCAUUCUGUUAGUCUUUCCCACAGAAGAAAAAGUUGAAUUAGACCAAAUCUGGCAAGGAUCUCUGUAGAAAAUAAGUAGAGAAGCCAUGUGCUGAAGAUUACUUACUGCCAACCUACUUAUAAGUUUUCCAUUUCAAAGUGCACGCUGUUUUUUUGCAGUGAGAGUUUCUGUAUUUUUCUGACACAACAUUGUAUACUAUUGAAGCAAGUACCUCACAGAAGUCUACAUUAUUCCUUUUACAAAUCAUACUAGAAACUGAUGUCAGAAAAGCAUGUUUUUUAUUAAUUAACGUGGAAUCACAGGAGCAAUUGUGCUUUAAGUAACUUUUGCAAGAUUUGCGGGUGUAAGUUGGAUUCAGGAAAAGUGAUGUUAUUUACUUAUAUCACAUAAGAACAGCACUUCCCAUUACACUUACAGGUAAGACAAAUUGAAAAAAAAAAAAGAAAAAAAAAAACCAGGAAGUUUACAGAACACUUUUCACCUUUGCAUUAUUUAGAAUUGUUUACCUCCAGAGGAGAUGCUUACUACUUCUGAGUUGAAUUUGAUGAUAAAAAUUCUUGAUUGCCUUUAGUUUUGCUAACCUUUGAUUUUCUCUCAACGUGAUUGCAGGUUGGACAAGCGAAGAAGUCCAAAAUAUUGCUAAGUUCCUCCUAUAAAUGUCCACAUGCUGUUUUUGUAAAAUGAAAUUAUAUUGAAAAGAUCUAAUCAUUUUACACAGGUCAAAAUUGACCUACAGUGGUAUAACACAGCGUAAAAGUUCACCAAUAACAUUAACUUUUAUUAGUCCCUGUAUACCCAUCUAAACCCCAUGAAACAUAAACAAAGUGAAGGCCUUAGAAAAGUUUCAUACCAGGCAAAUUUUUUACCUAUCCUCUGUCCCAAACGUGUAAACUACCACAUCUUCUGCCAUCCUGCACUAGACUUCGGGGAGUUUCAAUCCCUGUAUGUGGGUGAGAAGUGGUCACACUAUAAGAAACAACUCAGAUGUCAAAUGAACUAAUGGAUGACACAUCGUGUGUACUAGCUUACAGUUCAACCUUCAGGUUUUGGCAAAAUGUGGUAAUGCAGAAAGUUCUCUCCUCCUACAUGUCUGCACAAUUCAUCCAGCUCCACUGCCAUAUUCCUGCUGCUGAGUUGUUCCCACACAGCAGAGAAAAGGUUCCUUUUCUUUCAGCCUGGAAAAUGUGAUGGCUUUUAUUUGUAGUUCCACUUAAUUGUUGUGUUGUACCAAGGCUAAACAAACUACAAACAUGAUUAAAAGCAAUUUAUAUAUUAUUCUUUUCCUGUGUUAAAUAGGAGAAAAUGAUGUGUUAUGGAUUUCCUCCACCAGGACACUGAAAACUUUCAGCAGGAAAGCAUUAAUUUAAGAAAUAGUAAUUCAUGUAUUUGCACUGAGGUUUACCUAGGAGCAUAAGCAAAACAGCGAGGGCUUUCUGCCUCCACUCCCAUGUGGAUAAAGCAGAGGAUAGUGCAUCCCUGAAGUAGAAACAAAAACUCCUAUUCUUACACACAUUCUCUCUAUUAACGUUUUGUGUAGUGGAUAUUUCUUUGGUCCUGCUCAGUGGUGGGGUUGCGUCAGAUCUGUGCUUGGAAACAACCAAAGGAAAGCCUUUUUUCAAGAGCAAUGUCCAUUUAUCUGAUUUCCACGUCCCUCUCAUCUCCAAUGACUCUGUGUUGGGGCUCUCAGGACUGAGGACACCUCAGGGCCAUUUGUCACCAGAAUAUUUUUAUCUAGUAGGUCUGAACAGUAACUUUUGUCUCUUCAUUCUUCUAUUGGUCUCACAUGGCAAGGUUUCGUUAGCAUGGGGGCUGCAGGGGGGUGGUCUCUGUGAAGAGAGCUCAGCAGAUGCCCAUAGCAGACAAGAGCCUGUUCAAGCUGGCUCCAAAGAGGCCCACUGCUGGUUUGGGCAUUUGCAAAAAAAGAGGUUUGUAUUUGUGACUACAUGAGAUUAACAUGUUGUCUCUUUAAACAAAAUUAAUUGCCAAGAAGAACCACACAAGCCGACAAAAACAGUGAUCAAAAUGAAGAGAGAAAGCAGAGGGGUUUUGCUGACUUUUUAUUAAAGGGACGCAGCUUCUGCCCAUUUGUAAAGUUACCAAAACAACAUAUGAUUUUUUUCAAUAUCAUUGUAUGUUAUGUCAAAAUCUUAACAUAGAAUUGUUGCCUGGCACAAUACAAUGUUACUGAAAGCAUAGGUAAAAGCAAGGGACAGCAUACACUUACAUUCUACCUUGCUUUCCUCUACAAAUAACAGGUUGCUUAAACAAAGCAAGUAGUGAGAGGAAAAUGAGAUCUUGCUUGCAGCUAUGUUUAUUUUGUCACCAGAAUUAAGUUUAUCAGGUUAAGUUAAUCACUGAAACUAAAAGGCAUCAUCUCAUUGAAAAUGGUGAGAAACAGGAAAAGUCAUACCACACCCAGAAACCAUGCUGGCAUUGUCACAGAAUAACCUGACUUUCCUCAACAAGUGACAAGUGAUUUUUUCCAACCUACAGAUGGUUAUUUUUGUCCUCCCACUUCUGGCUUGAUCAAAACCCACACAUCUAAAUAAAAGAUCUUAAUAAUAAAUCCACAUUUAAAUACUCACCCAGGCUGGAUGAGUCUGAUCGCUGUGCCAACAGGCAGUACAGGGGCUCUUUCUCUGUUUGUCUUCCUUCACUCUCCCAGGGAUGCUGUGGUGUACCACUGAGCCACCUAGCAGCACCUCCACUUCUUCUUCUUGGACCAUGCCCAUACUCUGCUAUCCGGGGGAAUGUGACCACAAAAACAGAUUUGAUGUCAUUUGUUCAAUACCCGUGUGAAAGAAAUCAAGGAUGAUUUUGACAAAUGUCUCCUAGUUGUCCUUGGCCUCGUAAUUAUACAGACUCCUCCUCCCCAGUGACAUGAGGGAAACAAACCAUUUGUGCUGACUUAUCUGCACAGAUUUAAUGUGGCUUAUCAUUACAAUACUGACUUAAAUAGAUCAUACAGAUGUUUUGCUAAACAAAGUGGUUUAUUCAGACUUAGAUAACUUUUUUUUUAUACUUCUUUUCUUUCGUUUGUCCUAGGUACAGCAUUUCCACAGACAUGUUUCAAGAAUAAAUUCUACCAACUUGUAGAUUGUAUCUCUCCUCUCUAAACCAUCACUACUAUAAAAUCUAAGUUGGAAGCAUGGUGUGAUUCAUGCAACCUCUUCCUUUCCCACGUGAAAAUAUUUCUUGCUCCUCAGACACUUUAGGAGUCUCUCACACGUUCAUAUACGCGAGGAUCAAAUGUUUAUACAUAAAUCUCAAUUGUUCUUUAUUUCAGUUCAGCUUGAGUUGACUCAGAUGUAGCUUACAUUUCCAACCACAUCUCUCCAAGCGAUGUGAAAAUAUUCUCAUAUUUCUCCAAAGUGUCACAGGGUACUUCCAUCCAUUUCUUAAGCAAAAACAUCAGACGGGAAGUAAGCCUGUGGCUGGAGUCAGCAUACCAUGCACAUCCGUCUGAUAUCCCCAAAAGGUACCUUCUGUUCCCACCACUCCACCAUCUUCCACGGGGUGACAGAUCUCCACAGUUUCCCUGUAUGCAUGGUCUCCCAUCUGUUUUGGAGUCCUGAUAUCUUCAUCUCUGCGCUUUCCAGUGUCAGAGGCUCAUUGCUGCCUGUCCAUGCCGGGAAGGUGUUGUGAGUACUGUGGACCUCGAGUCAUUAGUUUGUGGUUGCACAGCCGCCGUCUCACAGUGAGAGUGCUGUGACACUGCCAGCUGUGAAAAGUUUCCCUGUGGGCAGAUUCCCCUUCCCAGUUCCUCUUUUAGCAACUUUUUGCCUCCUUCUCUCUCACCGCAGCCUCCUGGCUGCUUGGCCAGCAGCCUGCUGCCUGCUGUCAUCUCUGGUGCAAACAAGCACCACAAUUGAUUUGAGAAAUUUGCAGGACUUCACAGCUCCCAAGGAAUGAGCCUAAAUGUUUGAAAAUAUCUAACAGGGACAGACUUUUUUUGUGCCAUGUCUUUUUUUUUUCUUUUUUUUUUUAAUUUUAGUGAUUUGCUAAGGUGCUCAGUGUAAGUAUAUUUAAACACGGUUUACAGCAACAGCAGCAUUUUGUCUUCAACUGACCACCAUUCUGUAGUCAAAGACCGGGUGAAAGACCAAGGAUGAAAUGUUGCAGAUGCCCAUGUUUCUGUUUAUGUGCUGAUGGGGACAAGUCACUGUUAGUUGGAAAAGAGGUGACACGGUUGUGGCUGCUCGCCUGUGUUCUCUUGUAUUGCUUCUCUGCCUCUAAGAAAGAGUGACACCAAGAGGGAAGAAGUUCUUGAUUUUUUCUAGGAGGUUAUUCAGGGCCACCUGUUGCAGAAUUAAGAAAUGUUUCCACCAAGAGAUUAGCAGCCUACACAGCUGCAAGUAGCUUUAAUCCACUUUGUGCUCGGGAGCACACACAGGCACUGGGCUUUGUGCUGAGCUAUUUUCACUUAUUGCUGCAUCUGUUUUCAGUGGAAAGUGCUGAAGACCUGCUUGUCCUCUGGGAAGAGCCAAGGGAGGCCGCAGAAACAGCUGUUCUGCAUGAGCUGCACCCAUCCCCUGCCUCACACAGUCAGACCCUCAGCUGGGCAAGGCAGGUCUGGCAUAUGAGGUGUCUAUGUUUUGGAGAAUGUGAUGUGGGCGUACAGCCGUAUCUUAUCUCCUGCCAGUCAGAACAAGCUGCCCUGCUGCCACCCUGGCACAAGAUUAAGUUUGAUUUGUAACUCACUAAAGAACACUACCAAAUGGCCAAUGAAAAGAGGUACUCAGGUUUUCCAGAGAAACUACCCAGUCAUCUGUAGUCCUCCGCAGACUUCUUUGAUACCUGACUUUGCUGAGGAGGCACCUCCACAGAGGUAUGCAUGUGCCCUUUCUCUUCCUCUACCUUGAACAGAUGGCAGUUUGCCCCUACACUGUCUCACAGAGUUGUCAGCCCGUGAGGAUUCUUCAAGACUUUCAGUGUUUUGCUUAGGUGAGCAAGGUUUAAAAUGGCACAAGAGCCUGGGAAAAUUGUUCCCCCAAGAACCACUUCCUGCCGUUACGCUACACUGUUUUUGUUUUCAGCUUGAGGUGUCACAUAGGUACCAUGUGUAUAUGUUGCCUCCCUCUUCAGUAAUUUUCUCUGUUUCAUAAAAGGAGAUCCAGGUGAAUCCAGUGUCUGUUGAAGGUGGAGAAAAGGCACAAGCUUCAGUAGCUGACUCUGCAUUAUACAAAUACUCCAAGAAGGACUAAAGCAUGGAGUACUCUUCAGACCUUUGGGAGAGAUUUGACCUAUGUUUCUUUCUACAAGUGAAAAAGAGAGAUAAUGUAACUAGAAUGAACCAGAUAAACAACUCAUACUUUCCUGAGCACUGACUGCCUCCAGUUCUGCCUUGGCAGUGCACAGUUCUAAACCCAUUGCUUUGAAGGCUGAGUUACUAGCACAGCAGAGAAGGGUCUGUGUACUAAAGCGUACUCAUGAAUUGAUUAAAAUAGCAAAAUGAGAAGAUCAGAGAAGAACCCCUUCUCAAGCUUCAUGCAAAUUAGAGUGUUGUUACUGAAACUGACCUGAGCAGCCAUUAAAAUUCUUACCACUCUUGGGAGUAUCACGAGUCAGGCAGGAUGCUGCUCAUCAAUAUCCUGCAGUUCUCCCUUAAAGGAAGGCCCCAGAAAAUUCCACUGCUAUCUGCUUCCCUGAGGGAGGUGUCACCUCUACCUGCCUGUGGAACACCAUAUAGAUUUACAUGGCUUUGCAUGUCUGCCAGAGGAGCACAGGGGUGCCCUGUGCCAGCAGCUUGAAAUCUCUUGUUACCACCCCUGCAGAUCUGAGUGUGGGAGGUACGUCAGCAUAUGGGUUAACACCAGAAGCCUUCCAAGAGAGCUUCCUGGCAGCUCUUCACUUCGAAACUUUACUGAUGCUGGGAUUGCUGGUGAAAAAAAACCAAAAAACAACACACAAACCAGUACCAAAGAUAGAAAACUCUUGAAGCUAAAAAUACAGAGUAACCAUGGGUAUUGUGUGCGGUUGAAUGAGGGGAAGUACUUGACCUUGUGCCCUGGGUUCCAGAUGAGCAGUUGAAUCAUUGUCUGACAGCUGGCUUUUUCAUCUGUUUUAAUCAGUGACGUUAUGUGCCACAUCUUUAAAAAAAAAACAUACAUAAUUUCAUACAAGAAUUUGCCUAUGGCAAUUUGUGCCAGUUGCUAAAGGUACACACAACAGUCUGUAUCCAUGAGCAGCAAGGUACAUUUUGUGUAGUACAUUGAAUGUGUACUACUUACAGCCACGUACACAGGAAGAAGGUGAACAAAAUAUGCACUAUGUGAAGAGAGGACUCAAGGACAUUGGAGUUCAAUUACAACAACUUACUAUUCAUAGAAUCAUAGAAUCACAGAAUGUGUUGUGUUGGAAGGGACUGCAAAGAUCAUCUAGUUCCAAUCUCCCUGCCAUGGGCAGAGUUGCCAACAACUAGACUGGACUGCCAAGGAACCCAUCCAGCCUGGCCAUCCCUCCAGGGAUGGGGUAUCUACAACCCCUCUGGGCAGCCUGAGACAGUGCCUCAUCAACCUCUGAGUGAAGAAUUUCUCCCUAACAUCUAACCUAAACCUCCCUCUUUCAGAUUAAGUCUGUUCCCUCUGGUCCUACCACUAUCUACUUGCGUAAAAAGUCGAACCCUUUCCUGCUUGUAAGCUCUUUUCAAGUAUUGAAAUAUUGCAAUUAGGUUUCCCUGGAGCCUUCUCUUCUCCAAGAUGAACAAUCCCAACUCCCUCAACCUUUCAUUAUAGUAGGAGUGCUCCAGCCCUCUGAUCAUCUUUAUGGUCAUCCUUUAGACCUGCCCCAACACCUCCGCAUAUUCAGAUUGUCUAUGAAUCUUUUCUGGAGUCUUGUAUCUGAAUAAGAGAAUUUUGUGGGUUAUGUGGGAAUUCCAGACAGAUUAAUUCUGUUCUUGAGCCUCCCACAAAUUUCCCACAUAUCUUAUACAGAACAUCUGACCUAUCAACGCCUCAGUUUGUUGGAGUUUUUUUGUUUGUUGUUUUUAUUUUCUUUUGUUUUUAAAUAGUGUUCACAUUGACACUGCUUUGUAUAAGACUUUCGUAAACUAGACAAGGUGUCUGAGACGUCACAUGGAAGCAUAUUUAUCUAAUGAUGUCGCCUAGUGCUGGUGCGAUGAGCAAAAGACACCCUUAUCCUUUGAAGGUAAGAUGUUUCUGUAAGAGAAAAUGGUGGUCAGAGCUAGGGUGGUGAUCAGCAAGCUCUAAAGAGAGGUUCAUAAUCACAGCUCUCUUUCUAUCUGUCAUCAGAACAAGCAGUUUCAUCGAGGGGGAUGCAAGAUUAUCUGGGACUCUUAAGAAAUCCCUCAUUUCCCUAUUUGAGAAAGCUGCAAUCACGUGUUUUCUCCGAAUUUGUAUGAGUUCUGGUCAUGUUACUAGAAAAUACAUACAGAAUUGAGACUUACUGGCAAUCGAUGUAAGUACUCAAAAAGUUAGUAAAUAAAU